UACACCCCUCUAUCGCGUUCUUCCUCGGCAAGCCCUAUUCAAAACUGAACUCAGCAGACUCAGUCACCAUUGCAGCUGAGCUCUCGAGAAUCCAAAAUUGAGACACCACCACCACUAUUUCUUCCUCUAUCCAGCACGGCAGCGCAUCGAGCUCGACCAUUGCUUAGCGCCGCUGAGCUCCCCGCCGACAAUCCUGUGCGAGGCUUGUGUCGAAGAACGCCGAGAAGAAGUUCAAAAGGCGAACUCUCGACCUCUGCCUCGAUUACUCUCUCUCUCUCUCUAUUAUUUUCUCACUCGCAGCUUUCUCUCAUUGGUGAAUCCAACGCAGGUACUGAUCUUCUCUUCCUCUGCGCUGCUCGACCUCUUGAAUCUGUAAAAGUCAGAAACAUCCCAGGGAAGCCUAGUUUGCUAGUUUGGGAGAUGAGCUCAGGUUGAGCAGCUGGUGCAAUAUAUUUUUGAGGAACCCUAGAGGACACAGAUAGCAAAAGGACCUUCUAGGGGAGGGUGUUGAUGGAGAGGGUGUUGAUGGAGAGGGUGUCGAGGAAGGACCUCCUGUUAUGUUUGAUGGUCGUAUGCCACUUAAGAUGAAUUCCCACACAGGGAAAAUAUGUGCGCAUCAUCGGAUCUCAAGGGUAACCAUCUCUUCAUUCCACCAGCUUCCAAAUGUCACAGGUUCUACUUGGAAAAUGACAUCUCAAGAGCAAAAAGACAAGUAUUAUCGUGAAUUUCAAAAAGCAUUUUCAUGGCCUUCUGAUUGGGAGCAUCAGGUGAAAAAGAUGUGGCAUGAAAAAACUGCAAGAAGAUACUCGGGUUUUAUCAGUUCCUUGAAGGUGAUGUACAAAGCAGGUAAAUCCCGGCCAAUUUACAUACCUUUGGAGUUGUGGAGUGGAUUGAUAAACCAUUGGAAAGAUCGAAAAGUUAUCAAGUGGUCAACUCGCAAAGAAGGCAAGAAUGACCUAACGGGAUGGACCUGGCACAGGAAUAAGCAGAAAAUGGAGGUUCGGUAUCUGUUGAGAAGAGAUCUAUGCGCA